CAAGACAUGAAGUCAGGUCAGCAAACCCGCCGAAUUUAAGCAUAUAAGUAAGCGGAGGAAAAGAAACUAAAUAGGAUUCCCUUA
rnacentral:rRNA from 1 species